rnacentral:lncRNA from 1 species
UUCAAUCAACUUGAGUGAUCAUUAGAUAAGGAUUGUUAGUGUUUGUUUUGUAGUGUUUUGUGUGUGAAAUUAACUUAAAAGUGAUCCUUACAUAACCAUGUAGUGUAUGUUACAAAAAAAAAAAAAACAUAACCAUGUAGUGUUUCUGCUACCAGUGUUAUUCUGUCUCUAGGUGCUGUGCAAUCAAUUGUCUUUCAAAAUGUUGAGCUCUUAUCAACCAAGUAUAUAUCCUCUGUUUUCAUGUUGAAGUCUUAUUACUUUCUUACAAAAAGGAUUAAUAAUUAUUAAGGCGAGCUUUAAGUCUUUAACACGUCAUUCUUCUUUAAUCCACUUGAUCAAGCUAUCUAUUGAAUGAAGCACCAAAAACUCAUAGAUGGGGUCAAAUGUUGUGCAAAAACAAAGGCAGAACUUACAUUUGAUCCGCUUGGUCAAUCUGUCUUAUUACCUGUGAUGCAUCACGCAUAUGUUAUGUUUAAUCUACUUCAGAUUUGAAACCGCCUACUCAAAGACCAAAGACAUCGGCGCGAACAGCUCAACGGUUGAUUGCUCACAGCAUGGGAUUGAAGCUACCGGCUUCUGGAUUCGGGUCUAAAGAGCUACGAGACCAAGAAGCUGCCCGCAAAAACCGGAUUGUCUCCAGGCAGAAACAACGGGACGAUGCUUGGGGAGCUGACUGACAUUGACCUUACCGUACGGUUUGGAUUGCCCAAUUUUCCCGGCUUACCGCCGUUAUCAAGCUUAUUGGUGUAUACAGAUUACAGCUUCAAUCAACUUGAGUGAUCAUUAGAUAAGGAUUGUUAGUGUUUGUUUUGUAGUGUUUUGUGUGUGAAAUUAACUUAAAAGUGAUCCUUACAUAACCAUGUAGUGUAUGUUACAAAAAAAAAAAAACAUAACCAUGUAGUGUUUCUGCUACCAGUGUUAUUCUGUCUCUAGGUGCUGUGCAAUCAAUUGUCUUUCAAAAUGUUGAGCUCUUAUCAACCAAGUAUAUAUCCUCUGUUUUCAUGUUGAAGUCUUAUUACUUUCUUACAAAAAGGAUUAAUAAUUAUUAAUCGACCUAAAUGUCUAAAUAGUUAUGAUUUGAACGGAAUCAAAGUUGGGACAUCCCAUUGUAAAAAAAAAGUUCUUACGAGCAUACAAUUGGUUAGAAAACAAAAAAAAAACAAGAAAACAUCGUUGUGACCAGUGACCAAACACCAAAUAUACCCUUGAUAAAUUGUACGGACGAUAAAAUAUAACACAGGGUUGUGUCCGUACGAUGAACUCUGCGUCACUCUUUAUUCACUUUUCUUUUGCAUUCACAAAAUUAUAGAAAAUAGUUAAACUCUUGCACCC